CUGUGGCUGGAAUCUAGUUUCUGUUCCUCGCCACGAAGGCUCGGGGGAAGAGGAAGCAGGUGCCUUCCCCAAGGGUGCCUGGGCAUCUCCAUAGAGCUUUCUGCCCCUCCCCUCCGCCCAGUCACCCCAAAUCGUCCCCACGCCCACACCAGGAAGACGGAUGUCCCGUCAAGCCUGAUCCCAGGAGAGUUCAUGGUCAAUAGGCCCAAAGGUUUGGGGACGUCUGAGGCCACACGACUGACGUAGUGAGGCCUGAACAGACCAACAACCCCAGGGGGCGAUCAUCAUGACCCCGAAGUGGAGGCCCAGAGCGUGUGGCAGGGAUGAAGAGGGAAACCGAGGCUCAGACAGCAAAGGCUGCCGAAAUCGCACAGGGGCGGGGUCGGCCUUUCGCUUACUUCCGCCCCCCCCAAACACCCCAUUGAGGAAAAAGCUGAAUGGGAGGGGGCGGCCCCCGGAAACUCGACGAGAUGGAAACGCGGUUGCCAGGGCAGCGCGCCGCGAGAGGCUCCCGACGUCACCGCGGGGAGGGCUCCCCGUCCGCCUGCGCCUCGGUCCAGGCUCCGCCCGCCCGCGGGGAGACUUCAUUGGUGGAACUGCCUUUCGCUCCUCCGGACGCACCAAUAAACUCGAGGUUGCCCUGUGGAGGCGGGACUUCAACCCGGCAAAGACGAGUGCGCGAACGCAGAGGCGCAGCGGCCCCACCCCGCUGCCCGCGCGUCUGCAAACUUGGGGGCGGGAGACGCAGCCGAGGCUUGCCGGCUGAGGCUGGGCCUGGACGGAAGAGGGGGCGUCCCUGGGGGCGUCGCACGUGGACCCCCCAGCACAGGCACGCCACGUGCACCGCGCUGUGCACACCGGCAUUUCCUGCUGCAUCCCCGCCGGUCCGAUUGACCCUCGCCCGGUUUUCUUGCACUUCCCAGCCUUUGGGGGAACUUGAAGAAGGGAGGCUACCUGUAGCAGGGGGCUUUGUGGGACGAAUAGAAGUUUGCCAAGUA